rnacentral:rRNA from 1 species
GACGAACGCUGGCGGCGUGCCUAAUACAUGCAAGUCGAACGCUUCUGCUUUAACUGAUGCUUGCAUCGACCUAAGUUAGAAGAGUGGCGGACGGGUGAGUAACACGUGGGUAACCUGCCCAUCAGAGGGGGACAACACUUGGAAACAGGUGCUAAUACCGCAUAACAUUAGAAACCGCAUGGUUUCUAAUUGAAAGGCGCUUUCGGGUGUCGCUGAUGGAUGGACCCGCGGUGCAUUAGCUAGACGGUGAGGUGACGGCUCACCGUGGCAAUGAUGCAUAGCCGACCUGAGAGGGUGAUCGGCCACAUUGGGACUGAGACACGGCCCAAACUCCUACGGGAGGCAGCAGUAGGGAAUCUUCGGCAAUGGACGCAAGUCUGACCGAGCAACGCCGCGUGAGUGAUGAAGGUUUUCGGAUCGUAAAACUCUGUUGUUAGAGAAGAACAAGAGAAGUAGUAACUGGCUUCUCCUUGACGGUAUCUAACCAGAAAGCCACGGCUAACUACGUGCCAGCCGCCGCUGUAAUAC